GAGUGAAGAGGGACAAGCUCAAAUUUUAAAUCUAUCGGGUUUUACCCGAUCGAGUUGUAAUUUGAAGAAGCGUUUUCUGCGUUUUUGGUCAGCCCAAGUCCUAUUGAAUGAGGCAUCAUGGAGGGUGAUAAUCCCGUCCGGUUGAUCAUUUGCGUUUUACGAUACACUUUCUAAGAGUCAAGUUGUUUGGGAUUGCAGCUUAAAAUGGGAGGUAAAUUUCUCCUAAGGCUAAAUAACGGCGAGAGACCGAUAGCGAACAAGUACCGUGAGGGAAAGAUGAAAAGAACUUUGAAAAGAGAGUUAAACAGUACGUGAAAUUGUUGAAAGGGAAACGAUUGAAGCCAGUCGUACCUUCGGGUAAUCAGCCUUUCGGGUGCGAUUCUGUGGAGUGUGAGGAGCUCAACACCUUCAUGCUUUGCAUAUUUGUGCUCUUGGGUGUACUUGCCCGUGUGGUUGGUUAACAUCAAUUUUGGUUAUCAUAAAAUGAUUGGAGGAAUGUAGCUUCGAUCUCGUAUUGAAGUGUUAUAGCCUUCGGUAGAUGUGAUGAUCGAGAUUGAGGAUUGCAACGGAUACCCUUCGGGGCUACCUGUCUGGUCUCUGAUCGUUGCUCUGGUGCCGAAAGCUUGCUUACGGUUAUCAAAGUCGAUGGUCAAUAGGUUAGAACGGGUUAAAUUCGUUA
rnacentral:rRNA from 1 species